CAUGCGUGUCUGCCAGACACAGCAACAUGCAGGAGGAGGGAGGGAAGGAAAGCUUUGAAGCCUCCUAGGGGACUACAGCUCUGCCUUAAUGAAAUCCAUUACAGAGCUCCGCUUUCAAUAAGGGAAGGCACUUGCAAAACACAUGUCUAGCAACGAAAAUGAGACUCUCCCAUGAAGUGUAAAAGUUGUGACAAGGCAGCUACAGAUGGAGAUGACAAGGUUCUGCCUGCCACAGACAGCUCAGAAAAUAUCCCAAAGUGUACGACAGCCACAGGGAGUUCCGGGAUUUCAAUCAGAGCUCGAUGGAAUCAAGCGCAGCCUGAAAUACAUUAGCUGCAUGGUGUAUGUAGCUACAUCAAUGUGGCAUUUUCAACAAUUAUCACCUAGUUGGAUCUGCAAGAUAGCCACACAGCUGUGCAAACAGGAGACAGAAGUUCUGGGCUCUAAUCCCUCACUUCCUGUAUGACUUUCCAAACAUCACUGAAGAGACCUGGUCUUCACUAGGGAAAAAGGUGUGUUGCUAACACAUGGUCAGAAUUAUAUUCUAUGUAAAGUCUUCACAGAGUGCCCAGCUCUGUAGUGAGUAGGCACCACUUUGUGUUUGUUUCCCCAUCUGUAAUAGAGAUAAUUCAAAGG
rnacentral:lncRNA from 1 species